GACGAACCGUGCGAACGUUGUUCGGAAUCACUGGGCUUAAAGGGUGCGUAGGCGGGCUCGUGAGUCAGGGGUGAAAUCCCACGGCCCAACCGUGGAAGUGCCUCUGAUACCGCGGGCCUUGAGGGGGAUAGGGGCGUGCGGAACUUCCGGUGGAGCGGUGAAAUGCGCAGAUAUCAGGAAGAACACCAAUGGCGAAAGCAGCUCUCUGGGACGGUACUGACGCUGAGACGCGAAAGCGUGGGGAGCGAACAGG
rnacentral:rRNA from 1 species